rnacentral:rRNA from 1 species
AUUGAACGCUGGCGGCAGGCCUAACACAUGCAAGUCGAGCGGAUGAAGGGAGCUUGCUCCUGGAUUCAGCGGCGGACGGGUGUGUAAUGCCUAGGAAUCUGCCUGGUAGUGGGGGAUAACGUCCGGAAACGGGCGCUAAUACCGCAUACGUCCUGAGGGAGAAAGUGGGGGAUCUUCGGACCUCACGCUAUCAGAUGAGCCUAGGUCGGAUUAGCUAGUUGGUGGGGUAAAGGCCUACCAAGGCGACGAUCCGUAACUGGUCUGAGAGGAUGAUCAGUCACACUGGAACUGAGACACGGUCCAGACUCCUACGGGAGGCAGCAGUGGGGAAUAUUGGACAAUGGGCGAAAGCCUGAUCCAGCCAUGCCGCGUGUGUGAAGAGGGUCUUCGGAUUGUAAAGCACUUUAAGUUGGGAGGAAGGGCAGUAAGUUAAUACCUUGCUGUUUUGACGUUACCAACAGAAUAAGCACCGGCUAACUUCGUG